GAUGAACGCUGGCGGCGUGCCUAAUACAUGCAAGUCGAGCGAACGGACGAGAAGCUUGCUUCUCUGAUGUUAGCGGCGGACGGGUGAGUAACACGUGGAUAACCUACCUAUAAGACUGGGAUAACUUCGGGAAACCGGAGCUAAUACCGGAUAAUAUUUUGAACCGCAUGGUUCAAAAGUGAAAGACGGUCUUGCUGUCACUUAUAGAUGGAUCCGCGCUGCAUUAGCUAGUUGGUAAGGUAACGGCUUACCAAGGCAACGAUGCAUAGCCGACCUGAGAGGGUGAUCGGCCACACUGGAGCUGAGACACGGUCCAGACUCCUACGGGAGGCAGCAGUAGGGAAUCUUCCGCAAUGGGCGAAAGCCUGACGGAGCAACGCCGCGUGAGUGAUGAAGGUCUUCGGAUCGUAAAACUCUGUUAUUAGGGAAGAACAUAUGUGUAAGUAACUGUGCACAUCUUGACGGUACCUAAACAGAAAGCCACGGCUAACUACGU
rnacentral:rRNA from 1 species